UACGUAGGGUGCGAGCGUUACUCGGAAUUACUGGGCGUAAAGCGUGCGUAGGUGGUUCGUUAAGUCUGAUGUGAAAGCCCUGGGCUCAACCUGGGAAUUGCAUUGGAUACUGGCGAGCUAGAGUGCGGUAGAGGAUGGCGGAAUUCCCGGUGUAGCAGUGAAAUGCGUGGAGAUCAAGAGGAACACUCGUGGCGAAAGCGAGCUACUGGACAUUUACUGACGCUGAGGCUCGAAGGCCAGGGUAGCGAAAGGG
rnacentral:rRNA from 1 species